CUUGUAGGCUGCGGGCGCCCGCAAGGGCUUAAUAGGGAAUCCCGUGAGAGUCGGGAGCGGUCCCGCCGCUGUGACCGGCCACGAUGCCCCACGAGGCCACUGUGCCCCCCUUCAAGGGGCAUGGGAAGGCGGGGCGGAGGCCUGGAGCCGGAAGCCAGAAGACCUGCCCGUGGCGC
rnacentral:ncRNA from 1 species